CCUACGGGUGGCUGCAGUAGGGAAUUUUGCGCAAUGGGCGAAAGCCUGACGCAGCAACGCCGCGUGAUCGAGACGCCCUUCGGGGUGUAAAGAUCUGUCAGUGGGGACGAACCUUGACGGUACCCACAGAGGAAGCACCGGCUAACUCCGUGCCAGCAGCCGCGGUAAUACGGGGGGUGCAAGCGUUGUCCGGAUUCAUUGGGCGUAAGGGGUGCGUAGGCGGAAUGCCAAGUCAGCGGUAAAAUCGCGGGGCUCAACCUCGCUCCGCCGUUGAAACUGGCGUUCUUGAGUGGGCGAGAAGUAUGCGGAAUGCGUGGUGUAGCGGUGAAAUGCAUAGAUAUCACGCAGAACUCCGAUUGCGAAGGCAGCAUACCGGCGCCCAACUGACGCUGAAGCACGAAAGCGUGGGUAUCGAACAGGAUUAGAUACCCCUGUAGUC
rnacentral:rRNA from 1 species